rnacentral:rRNA from 1 species
UACAGAGGUCUCAAGCGUUGUUCGGAUUCAUUGGGCGUAAAGGGUGCGUAGGCGGCGCGGUAAGUCGGGUGUGAAAUCUCGGAGCUUAACUCCGAAACUGCAUUCGAUACUGCCGUGCUUGAGGACUGGAGAGGAGACUGGAAUUUACGGUGUAGCGGUGAAAUGCGUAGAUAUCUGGAGGAAUACCGGUGGCGAAGGCGGCAUCCUGGACCGGCAUUGACGCUGAGGCGCGAAAGCCAGGGGAGCAAACGGG